CCAGACUCCUACGGGAGGCAGCAGUGGGGAAUAUUGGGCAAUGGGCGCAAGCCUGACCCAGCAACGCCGCGUGAAGGAAGAAGGCUUUCGGGUUGUAAACUUCUUUUCUCAGGGACGAAGCAAGUGACGGUACCUGAGGAAUAGGCCACGGCUAACUACGUGCCAGCAGCCGCGGUAAUACGUAGGUGGCAAGCGUUAUCCGGAUUUACUGGGUGUAAAGGGCGUGUAGGCGGGGACGCAAGUCAGAUGUGAAAACCACGGGCUCAACCUGUGGCCUGCAUUUGAAACUGUGUUUCUUGAGUACUGGAGAGGCAGACGGAAUUCCUAGUGUAGCGGUGAAAUGCGUAGAUAUUAGGAGGAACACCAGUGGCGAAGGCGGCCUGCUGGGCUUUUACUGACGCUGAGGCUCGAAAGUGCGGGGAGCAAACAGGAUUAGAUACCCCCGUA
rnacentral:rRNA from 1 species